rnacentral:rRNA from 1 species
AGAGUUUGAUCAUGGCUCAGGAUGAACGCUAGCUACGGGCUUAACACAUGCAAGUCGAGGGGCAGCAUGGUCUUAGCUUGCUAAGGCCGAUGGCGACCGGCGCACGGGUGAGUAACGCGUAUCCAACCUGCCUUACACUCUUGGACAGCCUUCUGAAAGGGAGAUUAAUACAAGAUGUUAUCAUGAGUAAGCAUUUUCACAUGAUUAAAGGUUUACCGGUGUAAGAUGGGGAUGCGUUCCAUUAGAUAGUAGGCGGGGUAACGGCCCACCUAGUCUUCGAUGGAUAGGGGUUCUGAGAGGAAGGUCCCACACAUUGGAACUGAGACACGGUCCAAACUCAUACGGGAGGCAGCA